GGGAGGAUGCCGUCGAGGAGCCGCCCGCGUUUAUUUAUAGGUUUUUACAAUAACGUAAGUUGAUGAAGCGCCAGGCGACGGACGACGCGGGCUGCUGUGAAUUGUCGCCGCGCGCAUAUAUGUUACGAACCACGUGCGCGACGUGUAAAUCUUACGCCGGCUGUUGCACAGCGAAAUGGAGCCGCGGAAAUAGAAGAAAAAUGGACGAGAGGAUCGUCGUCUAAGAGACUCGGACCUGGAUUUCGCCUGGAGAUCGCGAUCGACGAGACGCAAGAAAAAACAUUGAGACCUGAUGACCCAAAAAGGAUUCGAACAGAAAGAGAGGGAAGUAAAGGAAAAGUGUAGAGAAAGGCUGUAUUUACCAAGGUUCGCUGUCAGCGUUUUUGUGUGCAAAUGAACUUUGUAUUUUACAAAAAAUUGUGUUUGUAGUAGCAAUUAUGUGUAUGUAUACAAUAUAUUUUUUCGGCUAAGUAUUUCGACGGGAUGUGAACUUUGAUUCAUUAUAUGUAUACAAUGGUUAUACGCAAGCGGGGAUACAUAAAAUGAAAUAAAUAUAUAAACGUCAAAAUUUUAACUGCGAAAUGCAUGAAAUAUUCAAUUUGGAUUAGAAUAAAGUUAUCAGAGUUAAUUUAAUAAUUUUUUUUAACUGGAUAACGUUAAUUUGGUUAUGUUAAAAGUUGCGUUAAAAUUAAAUUAACUUAAAAGUUAAUUUUAAAAAGCAUUAUAUAUUUACAUU